UUGGAGGAUUAUGAGUUGCGCAGAAGGAACCAUGGUGCGGUGCUGUGCUAUGAAACUUUUCAGAAUCGGGCUGGUGACAGAACCAAGUGCACAGGGGCCAGCUGACUCCACA